UCCAUUUUGUAGUCUUAUAUGACAGUUGUCUUCUUGACACUAAAUCGCCCAACAUAAAUUAUUAUAAUACAAAGACAUAAAAGUAUGGAGUGAAAAAUGGGUGAAAGACUUAAUAGUUUUUUUGUUUGAGGGUUGAAAGACUUAAAAGUUAGUUUGAUCGUACAGGCUACUGCAAUUAACCUAUAUAUAACCUUCAUAUCAUGGCUGUUACUUGCACGCAGAGCAUUUGUUAAUCAUGAAGAGUUUAACCUUGCUUGCUCCCUUACUCUUGUGUGGUACUUUACCAUGUUCUUCUCUUAAUGUUGCGUCUGAUUCUGCAGCAGCAGCAGCAUUGGCAAUCCUCAAAUGGAAAGCCAGCCUUCAAAGCCAAAACCAUUCUGUUUUGCUUUACUUUGUUUACUUAUUGUUCAAGGUUAUCAUAGUCCUUAUCAAUAUUGGCAUUUUUACGUGUGGUAUCCAUCACCGACAAAAGGACAUCAUUUUACUAAAUCUUCACUUGCCUAUAGGUAAUGACCUCGCUCUGAUAUUUUAGGCAGAAACAUUGUCAUAGUCUACCAACUUCCUAAGUAGGAAUUUAAGCCUUUGUUUAGAUCAGGAUAUUUUAUUUUCUUGUUGGAACAAAAAACUAGAAGCAACUAUUGGGGGUAAGGCAAGACAAAACUUGAGUUCUAGUUCUCUAAAGGUGCUAGGAGCCUCGUACCCAUUUAAAACAACAAAUAGAGUAGACAUUUUCACACAAUGCAAAUCCGAUGCCUGAUUCAUCUACUCCAUACCUUAGCAUUACUCAAGUUUUAUACAGGAAGUUCCAGGCUCACUAUCAACUUCUUAGCGACAACAAGAGCAAACAAAAUGCUACGACAAGCAGUAUUGGCAGAUGAAAAAUCCGUCAAUUUACAAGGAUGGGAAUAAUUAAGAUGUGGUAGUGAUGUGAAGGGGGCACUAACCUUCAUUUAGAGCAAACCAAAUGUCAUGGCAAGCAGCAUUGGCAAAUGAAUAAUUAUAAUGUAGUAGUGAUAUAAAGGGGGCUCUAACCUUCAUUCAGAAAAACCAUAUACUAGAAAUAUCUUCGGGAUAUGGAACAGUGAUGGCAGAUUGAUGCUCUGCAGCUGCAUGAAUCCCUCCCUGCUCGUUGCACCAAAUAUUAAAUCUUAUGCACUCAAAACCCCUAUGGAGAUGGUUGACCCAACCCAAAAUAAGCUUGCCAUUGCCCAGACGAUACAGAGCGCUACCCAGUGGUGGAGCCACUGGAAAUUCUGAUGACCAUUUGACGGGCAAAUGUUUCUUAUCAAGCAAAUUAUACGCCUCCAAAGAACAUUUAUAAAUGAAAGUAUACAGCACAUCGUCCACGAUUGCCGCUGAGUCAAACCAGUAACAAAAUUUUUGUUCGAGGCAAACCCAUGAUUUACGAUCAUAGUAAUAAGCGUAAAGAGUAUCACUGGCAUCGCAGUGCACCAAAAUCCGAGAUCGGGAAGAAUCUAGAACAGGAACACAUACAACACGUAUAUCGAUAGCUUCCGGAGGGGGCGACAAUGGUUCCCAAAUAUCCCCACUUAUAUCGUAAACCUCGCCAAAAAUUCAGAACCCAUACAUUCGAAGACGUAAAUCUUUCCUUCAGCAGCAAGAACAUGGGGAAAAGACCGAGGGAACAACAUAGAAGUAGUUUUUCUCCACCCACGUUCAAGGUCCUUCAAAUCUAAUUGGAAAACAUCGUUUACAUCAUCAUAACCAAAAGGAGUAGCAUCAUUUUUGCGUAUUCCCCCAAUAACAUAAACGUGGUUGCCACAGGAAACGGCAGUGGAACUUGAAGGAGCAUCAGGUGGCAUCGCCUUAAUAAAGACUUUAUUGCUUUCCAGAUCAAUAAAGUGCAAACCGAGCGUUCUUUUACCAUCGGUACCCGGCCGUUUCUGGACGAGGGCCCUGAUCAGUUCAUCUGGCUCUCGCCCAUCAAAGUAACUGGAGGAAUCACUAGUAUCGCCGCUCAUGGUUCACCCUCAGCUUCGCCUUUCCAGAUCCAAAAUCGCUUUUAGUUUUAGGGUUUCUAGCUUGGGUUUUUUUUUUUUUUUUUAGUAUGGUUUGGGUUUAGUAGUCAUUGACAAAAAAGGAUUUAAAGUAAUAAAUUUGUUGACAAGUUAGUAAACGGUUGAUAUAUUUUUUUAAAAUAGUAAUUUGCUUGUCUCAGUUGUUAAUUUCCAAAGUAGAGAUAUUGUCAAUAUGUGACUAUUUGUAUUUUAAAAUUAUUUAUUAAUUAUGAUUAUUUUAGAAUCAAAGCUGCUAAUGGGGUAGUAAUUGCUACUAAGAAGAAAUUGCCUUCGAUCUUGGUUUAUCUAUUCAGAAAAUACAGUGUCUGACACAAGUGUUGAAGUUGUUUACAGUGCUGGGCAGGUAAUAGCAUUUUGGAUCAAGUGUAACAUAAAAUCUUUCUAAGCUCGGACAGAACUUCAGGAAGCAAAGUAAGGCAUUGAUUGGUUCUCUUUCCAUUGAACAAUCAAUCCACCAAAGCUCUUUUAAUUCGCUCAAAUAACAUUCAGGUCGCCUACUUGAGAAGACUAGAAUGAUUUCUUUUAUAGAGACCAUAACGAUAACAAGAAGGGAAAGGGAGUCUCAGUCUCAAAGACGGUGAGUUAUCUAUAUUCAAAUGCCUAUGCACAACCAUUUGUCUGUGCAUUACUAUUUAAAUAAAAAUACAGAGUUGAAAGUGAAAGAGCUUUCUUUACAAGGAGGUAUUGUUAGAGAUGAUCAAGGAAUAUCGUCAGUCUUACAUUGUUAGUUGUUUGCCAAACUUUCGCUUGAUUUUAGAUACACUAUCAUCUUUCAAUCUCUGGGAUAGCGUUUUUUUUAACCGCAUCACUUCACUUCUUGUAUGUGCUCAUUUUUUUUAAGACAUUGUCAUGAUGUGAGUUCUUUCUUUUUUAUGCUCGCCAUUUGUCCCCUUAGAAAUUUUCAUUUUUAGUUCUGGUAUCUUAGUUCUUGUUUUGGAACACUGAAUUCAUUGAAACACAAUCAAUUUUUGUUUCAAUUAUAGUUGGAACAGUGAGAUAUUCAUUUGUACACAUCUCCCACUUCAAGCCUCGUAUGAUAUUUUAUACUUGUUUAAGUUAGAGAAGAGUUGGUAUAAACUCUGAAAUGCUAUAGCUUGGGACCCAAAAGAGACAAAAGAGAAAAGCUUAUUGCCUGCGUGAAUGCCCAAAUAGAGAGGGAGAGUCUAUCAUACGUCAAGUAUAAAAAGUACCAACAACCAUUCACAAAGACUUAGAUGCAAGUCAACAAUGGUUUGAAAAAUGGGUGAGAGACUUAUGUUAUUGCAUUCUAUUCAUUUUUCCAGAUCUUCUGUUUCAAGUCUCAAAUGACAAUUUUAACUCUGUAAUAACAGAAAGGUUGAUCUAAAAUGCGAUUGCUUUGGACCCAAAAUAGAAAUGCGCUUUUAGCCUGUGUGAAUCCAAAGGGACAGUGUAUCAUACGUCAAGACUGAAAGGGGCAAAGGUCUCUUGACCUUGAAUGGGGCUAACAUAAAUUACUAUAAUACAAAGACUUCAACUUUGGAGUGAAAAAUGGGUGAGACUUUUAAUAGUUAGUUCCUAUAUAGAGGGAGAUAAAAGCUUAUUGCCUAUGUGAAUGUCCACAUCUCCAUUUUGUAGUCUUAUAUGACAGUUGUCUUCUUGACACUAAAUCGGCCAACAUAAAUUAUUAUAAUACAAAGACAUAAAACUAUGGAGUGAAAAAUGGGUGAAAGACUUAAUAGUUUUUUUAUUAGAGGGUUGAAAGACUUAAAAGUUAGUUUGAUCGUACAGGCUACUGCAAUUAACCUAUAUAUAACCUUCAUAUC
rnacentral:lncRNA from 1 species